AUCAACUUUCGAUGGUAGGAUAGAGGCCUACCAUGGUGGUAACGGGUAACGGGGUGUUAGGGCACGACACCGGAGAGGGAGCCUGAGAAACGGCUACCACAUCCAAGGAUGGCAGCAGGCGCGCAAAUUACCCAAUCCCGACACGGGGAGGUAGUGACAAUAAAUAACAAUACGGGGUUCUUUCGGAUUUCGUAAUUGGAAUGAGUACAAUUUAAAUCUCUUAACGAGGAACAAUUGGAGGGCAAGUCUGGUGCUAGCAGCCGCGGUAAUUCCAGCUCCAAUAGCGUAUAUUAAAGUUGCUGCAGUUAAAAAGCUCGUAGUUGAAUUUCGGGAUCGAUAUAUCGGUCGUGCCUCGGUACGUACUGGUAUUUUCGGUUUCUCCCUUCUGACGAACCUUGAUGUCAUUAAUUUGGUGUUUUGGGGAAUCAGGACUGUUACUUUGAAAAAAUUAGAGUGUUUAAAGCAGGCUCACGCUUGAAUACAUUAGCAUGGAAUAAUGAAAUAGGACGUUUGAUUCUAUUUUGUUGGUUUCUAGGAUCGACGUAAUGAUUAAUAGGGAUAGUUGGGGGCAUUAGUAUUCAAUUGUCAGAGGUGAAAUUCUUGGAUUUAUUGAAGACUAACUACUGCGAAAGCAUUUGCCAAGGAUGUUUUCAUUAAUCAAGAACGAAAGUUAGGGGAUCGAAGACGAUCAGAUACCGUCGUAGUCUUAACCAUAAACUAUGCCGACUAGGGAUCGGAUGAUGUUAAUUUUUUAAUGACUCAUUCGGCGCCUUACGGGAAACCAAAGUGUUUGGGUUC
rnacentral:rRNA from 1 species